rnacentral:rRNA from 1 species
CGGUUGAUCCUGCCGGAGGCCAUUGCUAUUGGAGUCCGAUUUAGCCAUGCUAGUCGCACGAGUUCACACUCGUGGCAUAUAGCUCCGUAACACGUGGCCAAACUACCCUCCAGACGCGGAUAACCUCGGGAAACUGAGGCUAAUCCGUGAUACGGUAUCCCACCUGGAAUGAGGGAUAUCUCAAACGCUCCGGCGCUGGAGGAUGUGGCUGCGGCCGAUUAGGUAGACGGUGGGGUAACGGCCCACCGUGCCGAUAAUCGGUACGGGUUGUGAGAGCAAGAACCCGGAGACGGAAUCUGAGACAAGAUUCCGGGCCCUACGGGGCGCAGCAGGCGCGAAACCUUUACACUGCACGCCAGUGCGAUAAGGGGACUCCAAGUGCGAGGGCAUAUAGCCCUCGCUUUUCUGAACCGUAGGGAGGUUUAGGAACAAGUGCUGGGCAAGACCGGUGCCAGCCGCCGCGGU